UGGGGAAUAUUGGACAAUGGGCGCAAGCCUGAUCCAGCCAUGCCGCGUGAGUGAUGAAGGCCCUAGGGUUGUAAAGCUCUUUCACCGGUGAAGAUAAUGACGGUAACCGGAGAAGAAGCCCCGGCUAACUUCGUGCCAGCAGCCGCGGUAAUACGAAGGGGGCUAGCGUUGUUCGGAAUUACUGGGCGUAAAGCGCACGUAGGCGGACAUUUAAGUCAGGGGUGAAAUCCCAGAGCUCAACUCUGGAACUGCCUNNGAUANUNGGUGUCUAGAGUAUGGAAGAGGUGAGUGGAAUUCCGAGUGUAGAGGUGAAAUUCGUAGAUAUUCGGGAGGAACACCAGUGGCGAAGGCGGCUCACUGGUCCAUUACUGACGCUGAGNUNCGAAAANCGUGGGGGAGCAAACAGGAUUAGAUACCCUGGNUAGGUNCACGCCGUAAANCGANUGAAACGUUUAGNCGUCGGGCAGUUUACUG
rnacentral:rRNA from 1 species